CUAGACUCGGGUUGUCACUGCACUUCAGUGAUCGGGUCUAGCAGCCCGGGUC
rnacentral:ncRNA from 1 species